CUGGCUCAGGACGAACGCUGGCGGCGUGCCUAAUACAUGCAAGUCGAGCGGGUCUCUUCGGAGGCCAGCGGCGGACGGGUGAGGAACACGUGGGUAAUCUGCCUUUCAGGCCGGAAUAACGCCCGGAAACGGGCGCUAAUGCCGGAUACGCCCGCGAGGAGGCAUCUUCUUGCGGGGGAAGGCCCAACUGGGCCGCUGAGAGAGGAGCCCGCGGCGCAUUAGCUAGUUGGCGGGGUAACGGCCCACCAAGGCGACGAUGCGUAGCCGACCUGAGAGGGUGACCGGCCACACUGGGACUGAGACACGGCCCAGACUCCUACGGGAGGCAGCAGUAGGGAAUCUUCCGCAAUGGGCGCAAGCCUGACGGAGCAACGCCGCGUGAGCGAAGAAGGCCUUCGGGUUGUAAAGCUCUGUUGCUCGGGGAGAGCGGCAUGGGGGAUGGAAAGCCCCAUGCGAGACGGUACCGA
rnacentral:rRNA from 1 species